GACGAACGCUGGCGGCGUGCCUAAUACAUGCAAGUUGAGCGCUGAAGGUUGGUACUUGUACCAACUGGAUGAGCAGCGAACGGGUGAGUAACGCGUGGGGAAUCUGCCUUUGAGCGGGGGACAACAUUUGGAAACGAAUGCUAAUACCGCAUAAAAACUUUAAACACAAGUUUUAAGUUUGAAAGAUGCAAUUGCAUCACUCAAAGAUGAUCCCGCGUUGUAUUAGCUAGUUGGUGAGGUAAAGGCUCACCAAGGCGAUGAUACAUAGCCGACCUGAGAGGGUGAUCGUCCACAUUGGGACUGAGACACGGCCCAAACUCCUACGGGAGGCAGCAGUAGGGAAUCUUCGGCAAUGGACGAAAGUCUGACCGAGCAACGCCGCGUGAGUGAAGAAGGUUGUCGGAUCGUAAAACUCUGUUGGUAGAGAAGAACGUUGGUGAGAGUGGAAAGCUCAUCAAGUGACGGUAACUACCCAGAAAGGGACGGCUAACUACGUG
rnacentral:rRNA from 1 species